rnacentral:tRNA from 2 species
AGUUUCUUAGUGUAGUGGUUUAUCACAUCUCCUUUACACCAUACACGGAGAAGGUCAUGGGUUCGAUCCCCAUAGAAACUA